GCUCUCCAACCCAUUGUGAACUUACCAAACGUUCCCUCGGCGGGCUCAGCGCGCGGCGGCCUCCGGGCCUCCGGGCGUCCGCCGGGGAAAACCAAACCCUGAUUUAAUCGUAUUUCUCUGAGGGGCGAAAGCCCGAAAACAAAAUGAAUCAAAACUUUCAACAACGGAUCUCUUGGCUCUGGCAUCGAUGAAGAACGCAGCGAAAUGCGAUAAGUAAUGUGAAUUGCAGAAUUCAGUGAAUCAUCGAAUCUUUGAACGCACAUUGCGCCCGCCGGCACUCCGGCGGGCAUGCCUGUCCGAGCGUCAUUUCAACCCUCAGGCCCACCCUUCCGGGGGAGCGGGCCUGGUUCUGGGGAUCGGCGGCCCUCGCGGCCCCCGUCCCUCAAAUUCAGUGGCGGUCGCGCCGCAGCCUCCCCUGCGUAGUAGCACAACCUCGCACCGGAGAGCGGAACGACCACGCCGUAAAACACCCAAUUUUUUAAGGUUGACCUCGGAUCAGGUAGGAAUACCCGCUGAACUUAAGCAUAUCAAUAAGCGGAGGA
rnacentral:rRNA from 1 species